rnacentral:rRNA from 1 species
GCCAAAUGCCUCGUCAUCUUUAGUGACGCGCAUGAAUGGAUUAACGAGAUUCCUUCUGUCCCUACGCACGGUCUAGCGAAGUCACAGCCAAGGGAACGGGCUUGGAUGUGUCAGCGGGGAAAGAAGACCCUGUUGAGCUUGACUCUAGUUCGACUGUGUGAAACGACCUCGGAGAUGUAGAAUAAGUGGGAGCAUUGUCAUCUUUGAAAUACCACUACUCCAAGCGUUGUUUCACUUACUUGAUUAGACCAUAUUUGAUGACGAAUCAUUUUUUGUAUCAUCUCUGGCAUCCGCCGGAGUUGUGGUGUGAAGCACACAGUCAGGUAGGGAGUUUGGCUGGGGCGGCACAUCUGUUAUACGACAACGCAGGUGUUCAAAGACGCACUCACUGAGAACAGAAAGCUCAUGUGGACCAGAAGGGGACAAGUGUGUUUGAUUUUACUUUACAGUGUGAAUACAAACUGUGAAAGCAAGGCCUACCGAUCCUUGAUGCUUGAGAUGGAUUCAAUUAGAGGUGUCAGAAAAGUUACCACAGGGAUAACUGGCUUGUGGCAGCCAAGCGAUCAUAGCGACGUUGCUUUUUGAUUCUUCGAUGUCGGCUCUUCCUAUCAUUGUGAAGCAGAAUUCACCAAGCGUUGGAUUGUUCACCCACUAAUAGGGAACGUGAGCUGGGUUUAGA